GUUUAAAGAACACUCGAUGCAUGCUGAGACAUGAAUUCACAUUUCUACCACUUCGGAAAGUAUCAAUGUCCUACGUGGAAAAUGGACUAGAAAAUACUGAUAAUAUUAAUGGUUUUAUGCAAUAUGGCAGUACAGCAGAUCACUCAAGGCUUGCUGAGACAUGACUUCGCAUUCAUACCACUUGGGAAAGUAUCAUCAUCUUACAUUGAAAAUUAACUGGAAGAUACUGAUAAUUAUAUAGGUUUUAUGCAAUAUGACAGUUUAAGAACACUCGAUGCAUGCUGAGACAUGAAUUCACAUUUCUACCACAUCGGAAAGUAUCAAUGUCCUACGUGGAAAAUGGACUAGAAAAUACUGAUAAUACUAAUGGUUUUAUGCAAUAUGGCAGUACAGCAGAUCACUCAAGGCUUGCUGAGACAUGACUUCGCAUUCAUACCACUUGGGAAAGUAUCAUCAUCUUACAUUGAAAAUUAACUGGAAGAUACUGAUAAUUAUAUAGGUUUUA